rnacentral:rRNA from 1 species
GACGGAGGGGGCUAGCGUUGUUCGGAAUGACUGGGCGUAAAGGGUGCGUAGGCGGUUUUUUAAGUAAGGCGUGAAAGCCCUGGGCUUAACCCAGGAAUUGCGUUUUAAACUGAAGAACUUGAGUGCGAGAGAGGAAAGCGGAAUUCCUAGUGUAGAGGUGAAAUUCGUAGAGAUUAGGAAGAACACCAGAGGCGAAGGCGGCUUUCUGGCUCGCAACUGACGCUGAGGCACGAUAGCGUGGGGAGCAAACAGG